CCUACGGGUGGCUGCAGUGGGGAAUCUUCCGCAAUGGGCGAAAGCCUGACGGAGCAACGCCGCGUGAUCGAAUGAAGGCCUUCGGGUUGUAAAGAUCUGUUGACAGGGACGAAUAAGCAAUGCGAAUAGUUUUGUGUAUGACGGUACCUGUUUAGAAAGCUCCGGCUAACUACGUGCCAGCAGCCGCGGUAAUACGUAGGGAGCAAGCGUUAUCCGGAUUUACUGGGUGUAAAGGGAGCGUAGGCGGUUUAGCAAGUCAGAAGUGAAAGCCCGGGGCGCAACUCCGGGACUGCUUUUGAAACUGUUGAACUAGAUUGCAGGAGAGGUAAGUGGAAUUCCUAGUGUAGCGGUGAAAUGCGUAGAUAUUAGGAGGAACACCAGUGGCGAAGGCGGCUUACUGGACUGUAAAUGACGCUGAGGCUCGAAAGCGUGGGGAGCAAACAGGAUUAGAUACCCGUGUAGUC
rnacentral:rRNA from 1 species